GAAAAAGUAUCUAUACAUUCAGCUGAAUAUAUUUUGUCUUACUUGGAUUUUUGGGUUCCAUUAUAAUGAGGUGGAAGCUGAAUUGCUAUUUCUGGAAAUCAGAGAAAAGAAGGAUGAAAGAAAACCUUUCAAACUACAUUUUCAAUGAAGCAAAGGAAUAAGAGAAGACAUGCUGUAUUAUUACAGGCCUCACACUUAAUUGAACUCUGCAUGUGGUGAGCGACUAACCUGCUUUUGGUUACACAGUGAGUUUUAGAGACCUAAUGUGCAGCAGGGGACUAUUGUUCAUGAUGUAUUGUAUACUUGGAGUUUGCUAAAAGAGUAGAUUGUGUGUUCUCACUACUAUAAAAAAAAAAGAAACUAUGUGAAGAGGUAGAUAUGCUAAUUAGCUUGAAUGUGGCCAUUAGUUCAUUAUGUAGAUGUAAAAACAUCAUGUUGUAGGCCUUAAAUAUAUACAAUUUUAAGAAAAUUUUUAAAAAGAUUCCUUUAAGCAAGCAUUUACAGUAGCAUCAAAACAUUAAAACUAUAUGGCAAAGGAUGUAGAAGCCUAUACACUGAAGACUACAGAAUAUUGCUGGGAGCAAUUAAAUAUCUUUGGAAUAGGAGGUAUUUAUUCUCUCGUUUUUCAAGAGUGUUUUUUCUAUUUGGGGAUACUUGCAAUUUAUUUGAAUAAGAAGUUCUUCUUUGUACUUUCUGGAAAAAAAAUAGGUCACUGGAUUUUGAAUAAGAUGAAUCUGUAGAUUGCUUGGAGUAGUAUUUCCAUGUUAGUGAUAUUAAAUUUUCCAACCCAUGGACACAGUAUAUUUUUCCAUUUAUUUAGUUCUUCUUUGAUCUUUUAAUGCAAUGUUAUGUAGUUUUCAGUGUACAAGUAUUUCACUUUCUUAAGUUUAUUUCUAGGUAUGUUAUUCUUAUGGGCGCUAUUAUAAAUGAAAUGUAUUAAUUUUCCUUGAAGAUUUUUAAUUGCUAGCACAACUAGUUUUUGUCUGUUUAUCUUGUCUGCUGCAAGGUUGCUGAAUUAGUUUAUUAACUCCAGUAAUUGUGUGUGUGUGUGUGUGUAUUUAGUAUUUUCUCUCUAAAGGGUCAUGUCACCUGCAAAUGGAGCUAAUUUUAUUUUCAAAACCUUUUUGCUCAUCUUUAUUUUUGAAAGAUGUUUUGACUGGCUAUAGAAUUCUAGGUUGACAGUUUUUUCUUUUUUCAGUACUUAAAGCUAUUGUAAACUUCUUGUUUUUAAUGGUUCUGAUGAGAAAUUGAAUGUCAUCCUUACAGUUAGUCCUCUGUAUGUAAUAUGUCCUUUCACCUUUUCUCUUAGGAUUUUCUCUUCAUAUACUGGUUUUGAUCAAUUUGAGUAAUGUGGUCCUCGGUGUAGUUUUCUUCAUCCUUCUUGUUCUUAAGAUACAUUGUUUCUGGAAUAUUUGGAAUUUGUGGUUUUCAUGAAGCUUAGAAAGCUCUCAUCCAGUAUCUUUUAAAUAUUUUUCAAUCCCUUUUACCCACUCCAUUCCCUUCAGGGAUUCCAUUUACCCUUAUAGAAGGGUGUUUAAAGAUUUCCCACUGAUGAUGGGCUUUUUACUUUUAUAGAUGGAUUUUUCUCUGUCUGUUUCAUUUAUGUUAGUUUCUACUGCUAUUUCUUCUAGUUCAUUAAUCUUUUCUUCUGCAAAAUUUAAUUCAGUGUAUUUUUAAAAUUUCAGACUGUAAACUGAAGUUUCCACUUCUGGAAUUUGAUAUUUAAAAAUAUCUCCAAUGUCUUCACUUAGAUAAAAUUAUAAUAACUGCUCUAAUAUCCUUGUCUUCUAACAUGUGUGUCAUUUUCAACUGAAUUAUUAAAUUCUUCGUAAUGUCUCAUGUUUUCCUUCCUCUUUGCCUGUUUGAGGUUCUGACAUUUGAUGCCAGACAUUUGAUGUUGAUGCCCAAAUGUGCCCAAUGACACAACGUGAUGUCAGUUUCUAUGCACACCCAAGCUUGUGCAGAAGGAGAGGUAGAGAGGUAGAGGAAGCCUGGACAAAGGAAGCAUCCUCUGGAGACUUACGGUGAAGAAAGUGAAUGAAGUAACUGGCAGAAACUACAAGUCCUGGUAGAACAAAAUAGAAUCCCAGAAUGAGAACAUAUACCAUGCAUGUCCCCCAAAGCAAGAAAAUAUUUCCUAAAAUCUCAAGAAAAAUCACUUUUGGCUCAUACCUUAUAUCAAGUGAGGUUAUCCAUUUACCAAGGCAGUGGGAAAAGUUUGUUAAGGAUGCAGAACUCAGAGAGAACUGAUCCUCUCAUGAGGACAUUGUGAAGGUUUAAUGCUACUCAGUAAGUGAUGCCUAGGACAUGAACUUUUGAAUAGCUCAUAAGCAUCAUCAUAUUUAAUUGUGGAUCUAAACCAGAAACCAAGGUGGGGACAAGGUAGGAGACAUUGACUGCCACUGGCAUAUGUUUGGGUUGAAACAACACUAUCAGAAAUGGCAGGUAAAUAGAUCAAAGGAAAAUAAUGUCUUUGUCAUAUUUAAAAUGUAUAAUCCAACUAUUAGAAAUGUGUCAGGUUAAAAGGAGACUAGUGAUGUCAAAACCUUUUUAGUGCAAUGUUAAACAGGAGCUGUACAACCCUUCCUAAAUAACAAAGAAAAGUCAUACUCACACACACACACACACACACACACACACAAAGAAAACCACACUGACAAAGAAAUACAGUAAAUACAAUCUACUACAUAUGAUGAAUAUAGAGUAAAAUAUGGGAGAGUUUAGAAUAUAAACAGGGAAAUAAGAAUGUUUUUAUUAAUCUAUAUCUUUAUCCAUGAAAACCAAUCAUAAAACAAAACCUUAAAACAUUGUAUGUAAAAAAUCCACUAGUCCAGAGUGAUUGUCAAAAAAAUUUAAUUAAAGACAUUUAAAACUUAAACUUUUUAGCUUUAAUAGACUAAAAUUAAUUUUGGAUACAAGUUAAAAUUUGAGGAUAGAAUAUUCUUUUAUAUGACAGAAUGCCAGCAAAAGCAAAUGUAUAGUAAACUUUUGAGAAAGACAAUUUCCAAUAUAAAAACAUAAAUAUAAUAACUGAUACAGGCAGGGUUCAUUAAUUGAUGAUAAAAUGCUCAGAGCAAGAUUGUUAGAAUACAAAUAUUAAUACUUUUUCAAACCACUUUCCAAAUUAAUUAUAAAUAAGAUGUUAUUACAAGUGAGAGUUCCUAGACUCCUCCUUAACCAAGUGACCAUCCUAAUCCUAAUAUCACUAGAAUAGGGAUGAACACACUGGACCUUCUUUGCCCACAGAUGGGCUGAAGUAGGAAGCUCACAGCAUGACUCUGCAGUGUUCCUGACAACAUGUUUAGGCUGAAUUUAAUCAUGAGGAUGUUUUCAGGCAACUUCAGAAUAAAGACCUUUGAACCAGACAGCUGACCUGUCAUCUACAAACAAGUCCAUGUCACCACCAUAAAUGACAACAACCAAAAGAGGAAGAGAUGUUUGGUGUUCAAAAUGACUAAAAAAGAUAAGCUACAUAGUUUUUACUCUUUUUGAACCCAAAAUGUCUCUUCUGCUUUUUUGUUUGAUCUUGUUGGUGACAUGGGUUGUUUGAAGGAGACAGGUCAGUUGUCCUGUUCAAUGUUCUACAUUCUGCAGUUGCCUGAGGAUUACCUCCUAUGAAAUUCAGACUAUACAUUUUCAGCAAGAACAUGGCAUUGUUCAUACUCUACCGGCAGAGUCCCGGGUGACAUGCUGUCUCCUGCCAGUGGCUCCGCACUUCUUUUCUCUACAGGAUGGGAAUUGGGAGGAGCAGGGCUAAGGCUUGUCAUUGCUGUGUGUCCAUCUGAGAAUUUGUCUCUCUAGGUAUUGAUCGCAAUUUGACUAGGAUAGACUGUGGCUUCUCAAAUCAAAGAAACCUAGUGGGUUGAAAUCAUCAAGAGCAUUCUGUGGUCUAAAAUUCAAUCCUCAGUGAAGGAUCCCUGCAGUGUUGUUGUGUUUGGACUUGAACUUGCUUUGCUAUUUUAGUUUUUUCUCAUCAAGUGGAAAAGCUACUUUUUUUGUGACAUCCUUUCAUUCUUUGCAUCCUUCCAGCAGUAUUUGGUGUUUAACUUUGGUAAGUGCUUCCUAAUUCCUCCGCUUGUUGUCUUUUUGUUAUUUAUCUUCCCUAACAAGAGUCUAAGGACAGCAAUGUGGAAAGCGGCUUUCCAUCUCGUCCUGGCUUCACUACAGGGGAGGACAGGUCUCCUCUGUAUGUGCAGGAAGUCCCUAGGGCUAGUGAGGUCAUCGAGAGUCAUGUUUGCAGGUGCCAUGAAGACAGUGGACAAGCAUGUUAAGAGGGCUAUUUCCUUGUUGGUGAGUACAUGAAAUCAGUGCACUCUGCAGCUGUCUGUAUCCUGAAUCUACAAUCUGUGACUACCUUCACCUACCCUGUGUUCUUUCUGAGACCAUUUCCAUAUUUUACCACCCAUUACCCACUCCUGAUUAUUCAGUGUUACCUGGGGGCAGCUGAUUCCUCUACUUUCUUGACCUCAUCAUCUGUAUGAUCUUCCUCAUCUGUAUGAUCUUCAUCAUGUUUAUCAUAUUCUGGAACUACAGAAGAGUCUGUUCAGAUAUUUCCCACUUCACCCACUGGAAGCACAGUCAGCCCUAUGUGCACUGAGACAUGAACAUCCAUGUAUGGGUCUGCAUUGUACUGAAAACUCUCCUGUUUUAUCUCUAAAAAAAUGCCCUGGCAUGUUCUCCUGAUUCAUGAGGGAACGUGUUUCUGACCUGGAGAGUCACCAUUAAGAUGUGGUCAAAUAUUGAAAAGACAUCUUGCUCCCCCUAUUACUGGAGGCUUGUCCAGCCUUUCUCUAAGCUUCAGCAGCUGUCUCCCCAAUCCUGCCACCGUUCUGAUACCCAGGCACAGGCUCUGCAUCCUGUCACAGCUUGCAUUAAAAACUUUUCUCUUAGGACAGGAUAAACAAACUUGUACCACAAUACUCCAUACAUUGGGGACUUCAUGGGCCCUCCAAGAGACUUCCACUGUGCUAUCCAGGGACACUCUCUCCAUGGGGAGUGCUUCAGUCUAGACCACUUCCUACCACAAAAUGCCCCCACAUCAAGUGCCUUCUCCAACACCACACAGCAAGGGGCUUUACCUCAUUGUGAAAUAUAGUCGUAAGUGUUCCCACAUUUGAACGCAAGAGACAAUUUGUCUGCCUUUACAGAUUUAGUGACAGGAAUGAUUUAAUUGGUUACCCACAGUUGCUAAAGACACUGCUGAAGAUAGAGCCUGGAACCCUUAUUCUUAGUCCAGGGCUCUUUUGACUCUAACAAGCUGCCUCCUGUCACAGCCUUCUUCCUGUCCUUUAAAACUGGACAGAUGCUGCCUCUUGCCUUAAAGACCAUGUUCCAGCAAGAAAUGAGGAGACACUUGCAAUCCUGUGACCUCCAAUCCCAAGGGUUUCCCAUCUCUGUUUUUGCCCAGGAUGUCCUGGUCAUGUCAUGGCUACAAAUUUUUAGUGGUUAGAAACACUACCCAUAAAAUUGUCAUUGUGUAGGUGUGGAGGUUUGGAGGUCUGGGGACUUUCAUAAGCCUGGGGCUGUGUGUCAUCAGGGCCUGUGCCCACCUUACCUGGGCUGAGCUUGUUGACAAGAUGCUCUGUCAGCCUGUGCUUCUCAGCCAGCUGCUCUCCGAGGUUCUGACCCUGGGACUUGACAGGGUCAUCAGUGAAGAGGGCCUUGAAACGCUGAUUCAGUGACUGGGAAGCAUCUUUCUCUCCCUUCCCAUAACUCCUUCUGUAAAUUGGUCAGCUCUUUUCCCUGAGAGUGAACCAGGGCUUUAUACUGCCUAUGGUGAGAUAGCAGAGAACGUUUAAUAACAGAAAGUGAUGAGUCAUCAGUUCGAAUACUGCAAUGGAGGUUUAGGUGAGAAUGUUCUCAAGGAGCCCUCCAAGCAGAAGGUCACAACAUGUUUGGGGAAAUGCCUGUGGCCAAGAUAUAUAUACAUAUACGUACAUUUGGCAGGGCAUGGUGGCUGACGCCAGUAAUCCUAGCACUUUGGGAGGCUUAGGCGGGCACAUUACCUGAGGUCAGGAUUUCAAACCCAGCCUGGCCAACAUGGUGAAACCCUGUCUCUAGUAAAAAUACAAAAAUUAGCCAGGCAUGGUGGUGAAUGCCUGUAGCUUCAGCUACUCAGCAGGCCAAGGCAGGAAAAUUGUUUGAACCCUGGAGGUGGAGGUUGCAGUUAGCUGAGAUUGUGUGACUACCCUUUAGCCUGGGUGACAGAAAUGAGACUCCAUUAAAAUAUAUACACACACACACACACACACACACAUAUAUAUAUAUAAUACAUAUAUAUUGUAUUUAUAUAUACAAAGGCUUCCUCUGAAUCAGAGAGAGCUCCUGUAAGAUCCUCUAUGAUGUUCCACUCAUUUAUGUCUUCUGUAAACAAAAGUCUGUGUCUUCCUAAGUCAGUUUCAAGGGGAUGUCCUUUCAGCUCCUCACUUUGGCCAUGGACAUUUCUAUGUGAAAAUUCACAUACUGAAUCUUGCAGUGACUGGAAACAGAGCUGUACACAGACAAGUGGCCAGGGGCAGAUGGAGUGAAUUGGAAAGAUGAAAGAAGAAAGGAAUGGCAGGUCAAGAAGGCAAUAUUGAUUGAAUGAAGAGUUGCUGCGGUCAGCGAGGAGGUGAAUCUAAGAGUACAUGGGAUAGAGUGUACUAAACGCUGCUGGGUGGUUCACUUUCUUUUAAUUAAUUUUAGAUAUGCAAAUUUUGACUCAACAUUUGGUUGUUAUAAAAAGUGUAAUCAAAGCUCAAGGAAACAACUGCAGCCGGUAACGUGCUAAGAUGACUGUUCUGUUGUAUGAGUGCUGCUGUGAAAUGUGCCUGCCACGUAAAUGGCUGUCCUGGUCCUGGUCCAGCUUAGCUGCUGGUUCUCCCAGCUGAAGUGCUGCACUUCAGAGAUUCACACCUUUGCCCCCCACCAGUCCCCACAGCGUCUGCUCACCUGAGCUCCUCAAUGAAUUUGAAUUCCUCAUAAAUGGUCUGCUCUCCGAUUUCAUAGAUGUCUCUCUCCAGAGCCUGGAUGUUGAGGUGGUAUGCAUCACAGUCUGAGAAAAGAAAGUCAUGCCUGCCUCAGUGGAAGGCUGGACAGGCUGUUGUGGUCACUGCCUACAUGGCAGGUGGCAGCAUUUAUCCCAAGAACAAAGGCAUCUCCACUAUAAGGCUCCAGUGAGGGAUUUCCUCAUUUUUAGUUAUAAACCUCCCGACUCACUGGCAUCUGAUACUCUCCAACUUAGAGAUGGGGAAAAAGAAACUCAGUGGCACAUCAAGUAACUUGACAGGAUGAUUCACCUGGUAUGAGACAUGCCUGCCCCAGAGGAUGGCAGUGGAAGUCGUAACGUGCUAAGAUUACUGUUCUGUUUUAUGAGUGCUGCUCUGAAAUGUGCCUGCCACGUAAAUGUCUGUCCUGGUCCUGGCCCAGCUUAGCUGGUUCUCCCAGCUGAAGUGCUGCACUUCAGAGAUUCACACCUUUGCCCCCCACCUGUCCCCACAGCGUCUGCUCACUUGAGCUCCUCAAUUAAUUUGAAUUCCUCAUAAAUGGUCUGCUCUCCGAUUUCAUAGAUGUCUCUCUCCUGAGACUGGAUGUUGAGAUGGUAUUCAUCACAGUCUGAGAAAAGAAGGUCAUGCCUGCCUCAGUGGAAGGCUGGACAGGCUGUUGUGGUCACUGCCUACAUGGCAGGUGGCAGCAUUUAUCCCAAGGACAAAGGCAUCUCUACUAUCAGGCUUCAGUGAGGGAUUUCCUCAUUUUUAGUUAUAAACCUCCCGACUCACUGGCAUCUGAUACUCUCCAACUUAGAGAUGGGGAAAAAGAAACUCAGUGGCACAUCAAGUAACUUGACAGGAUGAUUCACCUGGGAUGAGACAUGCCUGCCCCAGUGGGCGGCAGUGGAAGUCGUAACGUGCUAAGAUUACUGUUCUGUUUUAUGAGUGCUGCUCUGAAAUGUGCCUGCCACAUAAAUGUCUGUCCUGGUCCUGGCCCAGCUUAGCUGCUGGUUCUCCCAGCUGAAGUGCUGCACUUCAGAGAUUCACGCCUUUGCCCCCAACCUGUCCCCACAGUGUCUGCUCACCUGAGCUCCUCAAUUAAUAUGAAUUCCUCAUAGAUUGUUUCUUCUCCAAUUUUGUAGAUGUCUCUCUCCAGAGACUGGAUAUUAAGGUGGUAUUCAUCGAAGUCUGAGAAAAGAAAGUCAUGCCUGCCUCAGUGGAAGGCUGGACAGGCUGUUGUGGUCACUGCCUACAUGGCAGGUGGCAGCAUUUAUCCCAAACAAAGGCAUCUCCACUAUCAGGCUUCGGUGAGGGAUUUCCUCAUUUUUAGUUAUAAACCUCCCAACUCACUGGCAUCUGAUACUCUCCAACUUAGAGAUGGGGAAAAAGAAACUCAGUGGCACAUCAAGUAAAUUGACAGGAUGAUUCACCUUGGAUGAGACAUGCCUGCCCCAGUGGAAGGCAGUGGAAGUCAUAACGUGCUAAGAUUACUGUUCUGUUUUAUGAGUGUUGCUCUGAAAUGUGCCUGCCAUGUAAAUGUCUGUCCUGGUCCUGGUCCAGCUUAGCUGCUGGUUCUCCCAGCUGAAGUGCUGCACUUCAGAGAUUCACACCUCUGCCUCCCUGCCUGUCCCCACAGCAUCUGCUCACCUGAGCUCCUCAAUUUGCCUGAACUCCUUGUAUAUCAUCUCUUCUCCAAUCUGAAAUAUAUCUUUCUGCAGAAACUUGAUGUUAUGGCUAUGAAUUCUUGAGUCAGAAUUCAUAGCCCCCAAAGUCUGGCUCUGAAUGCUGGGACAGUUUUUCAAGGUUUGCCACCUCUCCUGUCAAACACUCUACUGGGGCAUGAAGUAGUGAUAUCCUGCACAGUAGGAAAGGCCCUUAGGUGUAUGGGACUCAUGGAUUCCCUGGUACUGGGAAUUUUUAGCACAAAUAUGUCAAAGAUUCUAAGUUAUAUCUGAAUAUAAUUGCAUAAAUAUGAGGCUUAAGGCCCUGAGGUCAUGAUAGAAAUAUGACCAAAUACUAAUAAAGUUUGAAUUAAGUGAGAAAUAGUAGAAUCAAGAACUAAUAGAUAGUGUUUGCUCUGUGCCAAGAAUUGUUCUAGCAGAUUUAGAAGAAACAGGUCAGGUAAUUCAUUGCAGCAAUUUACAGAGCUAGGUAUUAUUAUAGUACCCAAUGAACAGAUGAGGAAACUGAGGCACAGAGAAGAUAGGCCACUGGGAUUGAGACCAGGAGACUGGUCUGGGCUCCCUGCUCUGCACAUGGCACUGCUACCUCCCCAAUGUCUUACGUGCUAUUUUUCUUCCUCUUCAGAAAAAGAGCCUGUGCCCCAGGAUGCAGGACUUCCCUCUCCCCAGAUUACUCCCUGCUCUUCAUGCUGUCACUUAUGGAUGUCACUAUUACUAUUAGGAGCAGUCUCCUCUUUAAGCUCUAUAGAGCAGGUACUAUGUACUGUUCCCACAUUUCCCCUCGGGUUUUCUGAAGAGAGAUUUACCUAUUGGGCCUCAAAGAAGCUUAAACGGAAUGGUAGUUCAUUAGUUCCAGGCAUUUAGGCCAACAGACUAGAUGUUAUUUGUCUUCAGGAUCUUCUAGGGUACAGAGAGCAUUCUCAUAAACAUGAUUGAGCAUCUUGCUGAGAAAAGCAAGUGGUUCUGUGCCUGUGUCAGAAGUCAAUAAGUAGGAUUUUAACUCUAGUCCCACCUCACAUCGGACUGCUAACAUGGAAAAGUUGCUAAAUACAUUGUGCCUCUGUUUUCCAUCCUUAACACAAUGAAGUUAAAGUACACAUUUCUGUUUUUCUAGAACUAAGGAAAGGAUGAAAUUAAUUUUGAUAAAGAGACUGUUCAGUAUCUCAGAGAGAAGACAGGUGCUUAUUCAUCACUUUCAUGAUGUUGAAUCUAUAAAACCUACCAUAUUUCUUCAGCUGCUUGACCAGAGAGUAGGCAGUAGCUCGACUUAUAAGAAAUUUCUCUUUGAGGUCUUCAAACUGCUGUUGGCUCUCUGCCAGCUGGGAGCACAAUUCCUGAUAGAUUUCUAGGAUGAUCAUCUCUGCCCUGUCAUGGAACAAAUGUGUGGCAGUUACCACCAUGCUGACGUUUGUGGCAGGAGAUUUCACACAGGGGAUAGGGGAGAAGGAACCCAAGCACAUGAUGGAUCAAAAACUAGUGAAAUCAACUAGGUUUAGUCAGGACCGAGGGAUGACAACAGCUGGAAUUGUUGACUUAUGGUUGUGAAGAACUUGAUCAAUACCCCACAGCAUUUUAGAAUCCUUAAUAGCAAAAAAAUAGUUUAGGAUGCUGAGCUCAGAGCCAAAGGUGGGGCUGUCAUGGAAUCUCAGGAGCCCUGCACUCCAAUUGCCCAGGCUGUGCUGAAACCCAAGGCCCCCUGGUCUCACCUUAGAGUCAUUGAUGGGGACCAUUUCCUCAGCAGUCCCUCUCAGUAUUUGUGCACCUUUGUGACAGUGCUGCAGACUCACCUCUUUCUCAAUAUAUCUAAGCAUAUUCCUUGUUGUUUAUCUCUUGUGUAUAUAAAAUCAUCAAGGUGGAGAUAGUUUUUCAAGAAGUUACAUUUUCUUUGUGGUAGUCAGGAAGUCACUGCACCUUCUCUAGUUAAAGCAGAUCUUAAGGCUUUUCCACACAUGAAAGAUAUCAAACUUUUAGACUGCCAUGAUAUCUUCUGUGUUCUGCAUUUUUGUUUUCUGUACCUACUGAAAAGUUAAUGAAUAAUUUAUCUUUAAAAAUAUUUUCUCCCCUGACUCAGUGUUCUCCUCGAUGCAUCCCAUUGUUAUGUUGAUUUCUUUUCUCUGACUGGGGUAGCAUCUUGGCUUUUUAUUACACUUAAGACCAUUUCACAUCCCUAUGUGCAAAGCUCUUCCUCUGUCUGUGGGUUGAUUUGUUUCCUUAAUGUCAUUGAACACUCAUUUUAUACUUGUCACUUACCAAUAUCAUUGUGUCCCACAAGAGUUCUUUUCAAGGUAUCAAGUGAUCAAAAUCAUUUGCGUAUAUCCCCUAAAAACAUGUGUGAACAUAUAUUUUGGGAAGUCUUGUAAACCUAAUGCUAUUUUUUUGUUUUUAUUUAGUUUUCCCAUGUAUUGAAAGGAAUAGGGCCAUGAACACUUCUUAUGGAGUAUUGUUGGAGAGAUACAUUUAUAUAUAGUUGCUAUAACACCAUUGAUGUGUUGUUGCCUUCCACUAACAGAACCUGGCAAGAUCAUGGUCAUGGUCGGGGUGGUUGAUGGUCCUCAGUGUUCCUGUGCAGUGUAGAAGCACUGCUCAUUGUCUAUCAGUAUGACCUGGCCAUGCUCUUCCACUUACCCUCAUCCUGCUGAAGCAUCUCCACACACUGUUCAAUUCCAUCAGUGAUUCACGCUCCUCCCAAAGCUCCCUGAAAUGGUUCCAGGUCUCAGGAUGUCAGACACAAUCCAGAUACAAAAGCAACACAUACCUCAGAGCGGGCAGGUGGGUUCCCAUUCUUCUGAGGUUGGCUGUCAUGUCCUAGGUAAGGAAGGAAUGCGUUCCCUUUUUAGGGGGUCUAUUUGUCAUGUCUCAGUGCCUGUGAUCUAGUGAACACAACUUCCUGAACAUCAAAGAACGUGCUAAAUGUUUGGUUUCUUGUUAUGUGGCUGGAAUAGAGUUAUAAGACUUUUUUACUUACCCAUGCCUGCUGAAGUUUGAAUUCUUGGCAGUAUGAUUUUUUUUCUUGUGAGGUGAUCAGUUUGCAGAAGAUUGGCCCUGUUGCUUUGCCAAAAGAGCUAAACUUUAUUUCAACUCAAAGCAAGCUUGAAUUUGAAACUAGGGCUUCUGCUCUUUCAGUACUGGACUGCCAUUGUCACUGGCAUGUGUCCAGAAGGACUCCUGUGUCUGCUGUACUCAGGCUAAGGUUCAGAAGAGCCCAGAAAGCCAAGUCUCCUUCACUUCUAGGUUCCCCCAAUGGUUUCUCUUCAGCUGUACUGACUGCAUUGAAUAUAUUUUUGCUCUGCUUUUGUGUUGUGGUUUGGAAUAAUAUGAUGCAGCUCAGUUGUUCCCAACCCCAAGUUGAUCAGAGUAAGAAACACCUGGGAAGGUCAGUGAUAAUACAAGUUUAUUGUCCUUCUUGCAGGGAUCUUAUUCAGUGGGCUCAAGUGGGGACUGGAAGGUGUUUGUUUGCCUGAUUCAGAUGUGCAGUCAGUUUGGGGACCCUCUGAUACCAUGAACCUUACAGUUGAUGGGAGAUUCUUUCUGUUUUGUUGGUGAUGAAACCAAGGCACAGAGGGUCUGUAACUUGCCCAAGUUUCCUUUGCUGUAAGUACUGGAGACAGAUCUCACGUACAGUCCCUCUUCCACAAAUCCCUUCCCACAUUUUCCAACUCAGUUGUUUGGGCUUUUUCCAAGGAGAUGUUUCUCUCCCCUGUACCUCAAUUCUGCCAAAAAAAAAAAAAACUUUUUGAAUUUAAUUUAUUUUCUCACAGCAUGCUGGCAGCAUCCUAUUCUAACCUCUUACUAUUACUGUGAGAUGCCUCUUUUUGAGACAGGGACUUGUUCUGUCACCCAGGCUGAAGUGCAGUGAUGAUUAUAGCUCACUGCAACCUCAAACUCCUGGGCUCAAGUGAUCCUCCUCUCUGAACAUCCCAAGUAGCUGGAACUCUAGGCACAUAUCACCAUUCCCGGCUAUAUAUUUUUUCAUUUUUUGUAAAGAUAAGGUCUUGCUAUUUAGCUCAGGCUAGUUUAGAACUUCUGGCUUCAAGCAAUCAUCCUACCUAGGCCUCCAAAAGGGCUGGGAAUACUGGAGCGAGCUGUAAACCACUCAAUUUGGUUCUAAAAUGCUUUUUUAAAAAAUAAUAGUAAAAAUAAAAAUACAGGGUAUGGAAUAUGGAAAGAUACCUCACUUUAUUACUGUUAUAUUUUUCUUCUAAAGUAUAAUCUUCUAAAGUAUAAUUCAUAUAUAACAAAAUUUAAUAUUUUUAAGCAUACCACUCAGCAUCUUUUACUAUAUUCCAAAGGUUUUGCAACCAUCACCACUAUUCGAACCAGAAUACUUUCAUAAUGCCAAAAUGCAUGCCUGUACUUUCUGCCAGUUACUCUCCAAUUUCACCAUUUUUGCAGUCCCUGUCAGCCACUAAUCUACCUUCUCUCUCUCUGGAUAUACUUGUUCUGGACAUUUCCUGUAUAUGGCAUAAUGCAAUGUGGCCUUUUGCAUCUGCAUCUCUUAUGUAUCACAAAGUUCUCAAGGUUCAUCUUUGUUGUACCAUGCAUUGGUACUUCUGUGGGGAUCGCUCCUGCGAAGGGCCCUUGACAGGACCCACGCCAUCUUGAGCUUGAGCCCAUACACGUUUCUCCUCUCCUGGAGGCUGUUGAGCUAAGGGAAAGGAGGAAGUCUAGUUGCACUGAUUUUAUAAACAUCAAUCGUUGCCUCUGACAUUUGCAACAGAAUGGCUGAGCUCAGGCCUUGUGGUCUAAUGAGACAUUGUAUGGGUAGACAUUGUGUGCCUCCUAGUUCCUUCUCUGCACAAUAACUGUAUGACUUCAUUUACCUCUGCUAACUCAAUCAUAUUGUUUGCAUAUGAUCCUAUAUGAAUAGGCAAGGUUAGAAUGACAUUUAGAAAGGUCCAGCUAUACCUUGUUAACAAUCUUACUUGCUUGCUUAACUGAUUUUAGAAAAACACAUGUUUAGAUUUAUGAUCUUCUUUUUGUAAACUUUAUUGUCCCUUUGCUGUACACCCUUUGAUUAAGAGUCAUACUUUCUGUACCUCUUUUCUUGUGAUUUUUGUUCUUGAUUUUAUUUCAAGAUACAAUGGAAUGUACGUCACUCCUCAAACACUGAAAGGUAUAUAACCUGUAGUUUGCACAAAUAAACUUGCUGUCUUGGCACUUCUUGCUCUGGCAUUGCCUGGCAGUCCUCCAGACCCCACUCUCUAUCUAUCUUUUCUUCCGCGCACUCCCUCUUCCAGGUCAAGAACACUUGAGUGGGGCUGAGGCUCUCCGCUGGUCGGAAGCCCCCCGGCAGACGUGCCGGACCCCCACAUACUUCAGUCCUUUUUAUGGCCAAAUAAUAUUCCAUUUUAUAGUUAUACCACAUUUUGUUUAUCUGCUCAUCAAAGGAUGGCUGUUAGGGUUUUCCACUUUUUCACUAUUUCACUUUUCCACACUUUUCACUAUGUUUCCACUUUUUCACUUUUAUGAAUAAUGCUGCUGUGAACAUUUAUGCACAUGUUUUUGAGUGAACAGUUGUUUUUAAUUUUCUUGAUUAUAUACCUAGGAGUGCAAUUGCUGCCUCAUAUGUGACUUUAUGUUUCACUUUUUGAGGAAUUAACAGACUGUUUUCCAAUCUCAGUGGCUAUACCAAUUUGCAUUCCCACUAAUAUAUGGGAAUUCUGUUUUCUCCAUAGCUUUCCAAACAUAUGUUGUUUUUUUUGUGAAGUCGUACUGGUGAGUCUGAUGUAAUAUCUCAUUUUGAUUUAAGUUUGCAUUUUCCUAAUGAUGAAAAACAUUGAACAUCUUUGCAUGUGCUUUUUGGCCAUUUGUAUGUAUCCUUUACAGAAAUGUCUAUUCAAACCUUUUCUCUCAUUGUUAAAUUGGGUAAUUGGGCUUUUUUGCUGAGUUAUAUGAAUUCUUUAUAUACGGUAGAUACCAGACCCUUGUCAGGCAUAUGAUUUGAAAAUAGUUCUUCCAAUCUGUGAAUUAUCUUUUAACUUCCUUGGCAGAGUCCUUGGAAGCAUGAAAUAUUUUUUUAUGAAGUCCAUUUAUCUAUUUUGGCAUUGCUUAUGCCUACUGAAGAAAUGUUUAAUCCAAAGUCAGAAAGAUUUGUAACUAUGUUUUCUUUAAGACAUCACUUUUGGAAUGAGAACUUUCCUGGGUUUUAGUGAAGAGUGGACAUUGCUUUUUCAUGCCUUCUGUCCAUUUCUGAUAUUUCUCCUGAUUGGUAUUUAUAUGCACUUCAUUCCUCCAUGGAGCAUCUCAUGGGCUGGAACAGAGCUCUGGGGACUGGUAUCCUUCCACUGACCUUGACGCUGGUGAGAGCCCUGAUUAUGUGAUUCAGCUGGCCUUAAGCCAACUCACUUGAACAUAUUCCUCAGGACAUCUAGAGUAAAAGUCAAGAGCCUCUCUGAGAACACUUGGCAGCCCAUGCUGUUCUAAAGCCGGAGCAGACUUCCUUAGUCUAUUACAGAGGGAACUGCAUGGGUUGACUGGGUCAUAUAUAUGCAGAGUCAACCCCUGCAGACACUGUGUUCAGAAUAGACUUCUUUCACCUCUGGCAUUAGAAAACAGACCUGCUUUAUGGUUUGGGGAAGGUUGUUCGAUAUGAACUAGGUCCUCUCUAAUUAUUUUUACUGUAUGUGUGACUUCUUCCAAGAAACAAUGGAAGAAUAUUUAUGUUAGAACUUUUUGUCAGUUGUUGUUUGUCUACAGUUUUAAAGUAGAUAAAGGAGAGCUCAAUGUAAAUGUAUUAAUACUUAAUUAUGCUUGAUGCCCACUGCCAUAAGAUCAUAUUUAAUUGUGUAUACGAACUAUUACUUAGGUAUUGUCCUGUUCCUGAUGAGAAAACAGACUCAGAAAGAUUACAAAAUUACCCUAGGUCACAAAUCCAGUGAUGAAUCAAAUAAGAAUUAGAAAGCAGUUUCUUUUGGCCUUCAAAGCUUACUUUAUACCAUUAGAUCAAACUGAAUGAUAGUACUUUUGCUAGAAUAAGUCUCAGAGUGUGGUUCUAGACUGAUUUUCCAUGAAAACAUUGAGUCAUUUUAGUAGUAUUUCAAACUUUUAAAUUUCAAAGUCUUUUUUAAAAUUAUACCUUAUUGUGUUUGUCCUAUUCCAUUUUUUUCUUUUUUCCUCAACAGAUUCCUAUUAUUUAUCCACUCAAUAUUUGUUACCUAUCCUCUGUCAAUUUUUAUUUCUUUGAGCUUUUGUCACCUUUUUGUUUUAUGCUAACAGCUCUUCACUAAGGUAUAAUUUGCAUGGUGUAAACUACAAGAAAACUUAUGGGUACAGCUUAAUGAGUUUUAAUAUAAUUAUACAUUGUAUCAUAAUACCCAUAUCAAGGUAGAGAACAUUUUCCUCUAUGCCAAAAUGUUCUUAUGUGUUCCUUGCCAGUCAUACUCAUCCCCCAAAUGAGGAAUAUAUUCUAAAUGUUGUCACUGUAUUAGUCCCUUUGUGUUGCUAUAAAGGAAUACCAGAGACUCAGUUAAUUAUAAAGAAAAGAGGCAUAUUUCCAACAUAGUUCUGCAGGCUGCACAAGAAGCAUGGCACCAACAACUGCUUUUAAUGAGGGCCUGAGGCUGCUUCUCCUCACGACAGAAGAUGAAAGGCAACCAGUGUGUGCAAAGAUCGUGUGGUGAGAGAGGAAGCAAAAGAGAGAGACAGGAACAGUGCAAGACUCUUUAAUAACCAGCUCUUGCAGGAACUAAAAGAGUGAGAAUUCACUCACUGCCUUCUCCUAGGGAGAGGAUAAAUAAGUUCAUGGGGGAUCCACUCCCAUGAUCCAACACCUCCCAUUAAGCCUAACCUCCAAUGCUGGGGAUCAAAUUAAACAUGAGAUUGGAGGGAACAAAUACGUAAACUCUAUCAGCCAUGGCAGAUUAAGUUUACUUAUUUUUGUGCUUCAUAACAAUGAAAUUAUUCAGUAUCUUCUCCUGUUUUGACUUCCCUCACUUAGGUGGCUAUAUUUGCUACUAAUUUGUUUGAUUGUGACUUUCUCUCAUUUCAUUUUGUUUGGCCUGGUAAUAUCCUAUUUAUUGUAUAAUUAUUAAACAAUUUAAUAUCCAUUUUCUGAUGGUAGACAGGUUUACUUGUUGGCUAUUAUGUAUAAGCAACUAUGAAUAUUCUUGUACAAUCUUUCUGUGAGUAUACAUACUCAUUUCUCCUGGGUAUCUAUAACUAGGGAUAGAAUUGCUCAGUAAAAGACUGAAAACAGCCACAGAGUUUUGCAAAAAUGUUGUAUUAUUUUACAUUUCUAUGAAAAAUGUAGGCUAUUUCCAGUUGCUCUACAUUGCCACACACUCAAUGGUAUCAGUCUUUUAAAUUUUAGCCAUUCUAUGAGGUGUGUAGUGAUAUCAUCUAUUUUGGUUUCACAUGCCUAUUGGUCAUUUAGGUAUCUUCUUAUGUAAAGCACCUUUUCAAAUUUUUCUGAUUAUUGAUAUACUGGGUUGUUUGUCAUUUUCUUUAUGAUCUGUUGGAGUUGUCUAUAUAUUUCAAAUAAGUCCAUUGUUUCAUACACAUAUAUGUGAAGCAUUGAGGCUGAGAGCCUCUCUGACAAUGCUUGGCAGCCCAUGCUGUUCUAACGCUAGAGUGGACUUCCUCAGUCCAUGCCAGACAGAGGAAACCAUAGGGUUUGGACCCAGGCAAGAUUAUAUACAUAUAUUUACAAUAUAAUUAAUAAUUAUGUAAUAUAUAUAUGCAGCAUGCACAUACAUUGCAAUAAUGAUUCUUGGUCUCUGGAUAGUUUUUGCCUUGUUAAACACUAACCUAUAAUAAGCAGAAGCUUUCUAAAAAUGAAGUUCAAUCUGAUUUCUUAUUAAGGCGAGUGCUACAAUAUCUAGUCUAAGAAGUAAUUUCCUAUGCCAAGUUUGUGAAAAUAAUUUCAAUUUUUCUUUACAAGAUUUCUAAUUUUAAUGUUCACAUUUUAAAUUAAUUACAAUGUAUGGUAGAAAGUGGUUUUCAUUAUUAACUUUUAAAAAUAAGAAAUAUUUUUUCAGUCAAGAAAUUUCUAUUGAAAAGUCUUUCACAUCCCCAAUGAAGGGCAUUGGUGUAUUUAUUUUUAAACUGUACAUAUGUGGGCAUAUUCUUUACAUAACUGUACAUAUGUGGGCAUAUUGUUUGAAUCUGUUUUCUUUUAUUUUGAUAUAUUUAUGUAUACUUACAUCUGUACCAUAUUUUUAAUUUUUAAUUUUUUUUUUUUCCUGCAACCUCUGCCUUCUGGUUCAAGCAAUUCUCCUGCCUCAGCCUUCAGAGUAGCUGGGACUAUAGGCAUUUGUCAUGUCGACCAGCUAAUCUUUGUAUUUUUAGCAGAGAUGAGGUUUCACCAUGUUGACCAGGAUGGUCUGGAUCCCUUGACCUCGUGAUUUGCCUGCCUCGAGCCCCCAAAGUGCUGAGAUUAUAGGCGUGAGCCAUUGUGCCUGGUCUUAGUUUUUAAAUUAUUGUAACUCUAAAAUGAGUUUUGAAAUCUAGCAGAGUAAGUCCUCCUACUUUUUCAAGAACAACUUGCUUGUUCUAGAUUAUUUGAUUUUUAAAUACAUUUUGAAAUUAGCUUUUAAAUUUAUUUAAAAGCUCCUAUUAAAAAUAUUAAUCAGAAUUAUGUUGAUUUGAUAUUCUUACAAAAUUGAGUCUUCCAAUCCAUGAACAUAAUAUAUAUUUCUCUAUUUAGUCUUCUUUAAGUUCUCUCACCAACAGCUUUUAGGGGCUUUGUACCUGCUGCAUUAUAUGUAUUCAUGUAUUGCAUGAAAACUUUUUAAUAACACAUGACACAUCGUGUGUUAUUUAAAAAGUUUUCAAUUUUACCAAAUGCUUUUUUUGCAUGUCAAGAUAAUAAUGCAGUCUUUCUCUUUUGUACUGAUAAUAUGGAGGAUUAUUUGGGGUUUUCUGAAAAUAUAAAAAGAUUUAUUGAAUAAAACUAUGACAGUUUUAAAAUAUUUUAUACUGUUUUUACAACUGUACUGAGAUACAAUCUACACACAAAUUUGCACAUAAUUAAACUUUGUGAAUUUAAAAGUUUGAACAUAAGUAGACAUCUGUAAUCAAGAUAGUGGAUAUAGGCUGGGCACCGUGGCUCAUGCCUGCAAUCUCAACACUUUGGGAGGCCAAGGCAGGCGGAUUACUUGAUCUCAAGAGUUGAAGACAAGCAUGGGAAACAUCGUGAAACCACAUCUUAAAAAAAAAACAGAAUUAGUCAGGCAUGGCACAAUGUGCCUAUAGUUUCAGCUGCUUGGGAGGAUGAGUUGGGAGGAUGGUUUGAGUUCAGGGGACAGAGGUUGCAUUUAGCUGAGAUUGUGCCUCUGUGCUCCAGUUUGGAUGAUAGAACCAGACCUUGUCUAAGAAAAAAAAAGAUAGUGGAUAUAUCUACCACUUCCAAAGUGUCCUUGUGUUCCUAGUAAUUCCUCCCUUACCUUUCUUACUCCAACUCAGACAGCCACUGAUGGGUGUUCUGUCAUAAUAGAUUAAUUUAAAUUUUCUAAAGUUUUCUAUAAAUAGAAUCAUACAUUAUGUAUGCAUUUUUGGUUUAUACACUUAUAUAUUUUGGUAUUUGGGUUUUUCAUUCAGAAUAAUUUUGAGAUAUAGCCAUGUUGUCAGGUAUAUUAAUAGAUAACCCUACUAUACUGCAGACAUUGAAAAAAUGUUCGCUCCUUUUCUUUUUCAUAAGACCUCCCCUAGUUCAGGCCCUGUCCCUCCCAUGAUCAGGACAGUCCUCUUUCCAGUUUCAUCCCUCAAAUGGAUGAACAAAGUCCAAACCAAACCAAUUACAUAGAAAAAGCAUUCUCAUGUCAACCAACUGUUUUGGAAAAAAUGGACAUCCAUAAGCCAAAAAAAGAAAAAAAAAAUCCAUAACCAAUGCUGGCGAGGUUAUGGAGAAAAAGGAAAACUUUUAUACAAUUGAUGGGAGUGUAAGUUAAUCCAAGCUUUGUUAAAGACAGUGUGGCAAUUCCUCAAAGAUCCAGAGGCAAAAAUACCAUUUGACCCAGCAAUCCCAUUGCUGGGUAUACACUCAAAGUAAUAGAAAUCAUUCCAUUUUAAAGAUACAUGCCUAUGUAUGUUAAUUACGGUACUAUUCACAAUACCAAAGACAUGGAAUCAGCCCAAAUGCCCCUCAAUGAUAGACUGGAUAAAGAAAACAUGGUACAUAUACACCAUGGAAUACUAUGCAGCCAUAAAAACGAAUGAGAUUAUAUUCUUUGCAGGGACAUGGUUGAAGUUAGAAGCCAUUAUCCUCAGCAACCUAAUCUAGAAAGAGAAAACCAAACACAGCAUGUUCUCACUUAUAAGUGGUAGCUGAAUGAUGAGAACACAUGGAAACAUGGGGAGGACAACACACACUGGGGCCUGUCAGAAGUGAGGGGUGGGAGGUGGGUGGAGGAAGAGCAUCAGGAAGGGUAGCUAAUAGAUGUUGGCCUUUAUAACUAGGUGAUGAGAUGAUCUGUGUAGCAGACCACCAUGGCACAUGUUUACCUAUGUAACAAACCUGCACAUUCUGCACAUGUACCCCUGAACUUCAAAGUUGAAGAAAAAAAUAAUAAUUUAAAAAUCCAUUUAAACCUCCAAACUUGCACUACAAUUAAAUCAAAAUUGAUUACAGAACUGAAUGUAAACUGCAAAACUAGAAAAUUUUUGGCAGAAAACAGAAAAGAAAAUCUUCAUGAUAUGGAGUUAGGCAAAGUAUUCUUAGUUAUAACAUCAACAAAACUAUUAAAACUUUGAUUAAUUCAACUUUAUACAAAUUAAAAAUUCUUGGUCAACACAAGACACUAUUAACAGAAUAAAAAGACAAGCUACAGAUUGGGAGAAAAAUGUGAAAAUCACUAAUAUGAAAAAGAACUUUAUAAUAUGAAAAAGAACUUUAUAACUUUUUAUAAUUUUUUUAUGUUUUAAGUAAUGAAUGAUGAUAAAUAUGCCUAAAUAAAAAUGAUGAUAAAAAAGCCACUACAGAAAUUUAGAGAUUGGCUGUUCAGGUAAGAGUUGAGAUUUGUUUUGUGGAAAGACUAAUUCUCUUUGCAGUGGCCAUGGAUCUGUUCCUCUAUGCUAAAUGUCUUGUGGGAGGAGUGUGUUUUGGGGGGAGUGUUCACUGGUACUCUUCAGUGGCCUGAAGUGACCCAUUCUAGGAAUUGUUAAUUAUGGUGCCAAAAAAUAAUAAUAAAGCUUGAUUAAAAAAAAAAAGGACUUGUGUGAUGGUCAAUUGUGUAUGUCACUGUGAUGGAGCCCCAGGGUUCCAAAGCAGUCAUUCCUAUGUCAUGUAUUGGAAGGGGGUUCUGGAUGACAUUACCCUGGAAUAGGCAGACUAUGUGAAGCAUACUGCCCCCCCUAAUGUGAGUGGCCUCAUCCAAUCAAAGGACAGAAAAGUAAAAGACCUAAUAAGAAGAAAAUACUUUCCUGGUUAUCUAACUUUGUCUUGGGAAUUUCAGUCUCCAGAAUCUCAUGUUCAAAUUUCUGUGUUUGUGUACACACACACACACACAUACAUACACAUGAUAUCCCUAUAUACACAUACACACACAUAUAUGUCAUAUAUAUACAUGUAUAUUAAGAUAUAUGUACACACACACACUUCAUACGUAAGAUUAGAUUGUAUUUUUUAAAGCUCAGCCAGUCAUUGAUAAUUGUUUAAGCUGGCCAGUGAUUAUGGGGAUGAUUCUCUCUUUUUUUAUACUAUUUAGUAUAAAAUUUUAGUAUAUAAUUAGUAUAUGAUUCUGUCUCCUUUUUUAUACUAUUGAAGUUCUACAUUUGAAGAAGUAGGGUAGACUAAUAGCUGAAUUUCUCUACAUACACUUCAAAGCCCUAGGGAUUAACAGAGAGUCAAAAAUACCGCCAAUAAUCCUGCCUCCAACCAGGGCUAGGAAACACUGUGGACCCCAGGUAAUUUUAUUUAGCUGGGUCUGGGAGCCACACAACAGCACAGGGAGAAGAAAACACUAUGCAAAUAGAGGACAGCAUAGCAGGGAGGGCCUGUUCAUGACAGUACACAGAUCAAACCAUUCUCAUACAGUGAGUGUGGAGAAACACAGAACAUGGCUGAGACCUAGUGGUUCAGAAGCCUGCUACUGGGGAAUUGAAAGGCAGAGGCUUCACAGUGCAGAAGACCAGAGGGGCCAAUCAUUGAAGGGAAGAAUUACUGGGAGACCAAAAGGCCUGGACCUCUGGAGACUUGUGGUGAAGAGAAUGAAUGAAGUAACUGGUAGAAAUUAAAAGUCCUGGUAGAACAAAAUAGAAUCCCAGAAUGAGAGCACACAUACCUGUCCCCAAAACUCGACAAUAUUUCCUAAAAUUGCAAGAAAAACUCAUUUUUGGCAAGUACUGUAAAUGUAAUGAUGCUAUCCAAGUAUCGAGACAGUGGGAAAAGUUCACUAAGCAUGCAAAACUCAGUAAGACCUGAUUCCCUCAUGAGGACUCUGUUAAGGAUAAAUUCCACUCAAGUGAUACUUGGGACACACUUUUGAACAGCUCAUAGGCAUCAGCCUAUAUAAUUGUAGAUUUAAACCAAAAACCAAGGUGGGGACAGGUGGGACACAUAGGCUGUCACUUUGUUUGGGUUGAAAUAACAAAUAAGAAAUGGCAGGUAAAGAGGUUAGAGAAGAGGAAAAUAAUGUAUUUGAUUGUCAGUGGUACAAUUUUGAAGUCGAAAGAUAUAAUUUAAAAUUUAUAAACCAAAUAGAAGUGUGUCAAGUUAAAAGGGGAUUAGUGAUGUCAAAACCUUUUUAGUGCAAUGUUAAACUGGAGCUGUACAACCCUUCCUAAAUAACAAAGAAAAGGCACACACAUACACACAAACACAAAAAGAAAACUAAUAACAUCAACAAAUACAGUAAAUACAAUCUAUCACAUAUGGUAAAUAUAGACUAAAAUAUGGAAGAGUUUAGAAUAUAAACAGGGAAAU